AACUUUUUGGCAGAAAAUUGCACUAGAUUUAGAAUCU
rnacentral:tRNA from 1 species